rnacentral:antisense_RNA from 2 species
CUUGACCGAGCCCAGCCACAGCGGCUGCUCGACGGAUCGAUCCCUGCCGUAGGUGGCGAGCAGCGCCUGCGCCUC